UGGUGACGUACAGCAGACUUGGCGACACCGCGAACUACCCCCAUCCCCGGUCUGCCUGCCCGCAUCAUCCAUUCAGUGUAACUGAGCCAUGUAAUGUGGCUGGAAGACGUCCUAACCAACAGAAUGCAGCUCACUGCGAGAAGUGCUACUGUUUCGCAUGCGACAAACCAGCAAAACAGUGCACAUUUUGGACCGCUCAGUAUGUCGCACAUUGUAACGCCUACAAGCAGUCUUCUUUUUGGAAAGGCAUGCGCAGGGCUCUCAAUAAAGUGACUUGAAAGUUUAAAAUGAAAUUUUGCUUGUUGAUGAAAUGGAAAUCAAAAGAUAUUUAUAUGCCAAAAAGCAGUUACUCAAGCAACUGCCUGGAUAUGAUUUUGGAAGCGGUCGGACAU